AGCUCUGCAAUCCUGAAGAAAGAAAGGGUAAAUUGGCCAAAGUAAGCUUUGAGAAUAAUCCUGGUGAAGCACCAAAAUGUUGGCUUCAGAUAUGCUGUGUUAACAGAAACUGGACUGACUUAAAGGAGGAAACAAACAAACUAAGUAAACCAAAAACGAACUAAAAGAGGUUAAAAACCACCAGCUAACUGCUCAACUGAAGAGUUUGGAAAAAGAGCAAUGGAACCAACACAAACAAACAUCAGAAAAGGAAACAAAAAUAAGGACAGAGAUUAAUGAGAUGGAAGAAGAAAACUAGCAGUAGAGAUGCACAGAACCAGCAGCUGGUUUGUGAAAGAAGAUGAGUCAGAAAGUUUCAGAAGUCAGCAAAGACACAAUGAGGCCCACUUGCCAGUUAAG